ACCAACACGAUAAACACACCAACAGAAGCACAAAGAGUCGCUCAGAUGGAGGGAAUAAAUCACACUUUUAUCUCUGUGGAGCAUCUAAUGUAUAAAGUUUGCAGAAAUGAAGUUAAAUGUUAAUUUUACAGUGUAGUUUUCAAUGUGUUUAAUGUGUGUUGCCUUAUUUUUUAAAUUCACAAAUUACUUCAUUCAUCAGAGCCCUAAAAUGUACAAGCAGAACAGAAAUGUCAGAUUUUCAACUUUGGUAUGCUUCUUAACCGAGUCAUCACUGGGAAACUUCACCAAAUCUCAGCUUUAAAGUGUUGAUGAUUCGUCCGACUUACUUUAUUCUACUUGUCUUCUUUUAAAAAAAAGCCAAAAAUUAAACAAUUUGUAACCUAUUGUGUAAAAAUAUAUGUAUUAGAGACUCAGCUGCAACCAAAAGUCACAAGAAUUCUAUAAUUAAAUGAUGACUUCAGUGAGGUAAAAUUAGAUUACAGUGAGGUAAAAUUAGAUUACAGUGAGGUAAAAUUAGAUUACAGUGAGGUAAAAUUAGAUUACAGUGAGGUAAAACUAGACUACAGUGAGGUAAAAUUAGACUACAGUGAGGUAAAAUUAGACUACAGUGAGGUAAAACUAGACUACAGUGAGGUAAAAUUAGAUUACAGUGACGUAAAAUUAGACUAAAGUGAGGUAAAACUAGACUAAAGUGAGGUAAAACUAGACUACAGUGAGGUAAAAUUAGACUACAGUGAGGUAAAAUUAGACUACAGUGAGGUAAAAUUAGAUUACAGUGAGGUAAAACUAGACUACAGUGAGGUAAAAUUAGACUACAGUGAGGUAAAAUUAGACUAAAGUGAGGUAAAACUAGACUACAGUGAGGUAAAACUAGACUACAGUGAGGUAAAAUUAGACUAAAGUGAGGUAAAAUUAGACUACAGUCAGGUAAAAUUAGACUAAAGUGAGGUAAAAUUAGAUUACAGUGAGGUAAAACUAGACUACAGUGAGGUAAAAUUAGACUACAGUGAGGUAAAAUUAGUUUACAGUGAGGUAAAAUUAGAUUACAGUGAGGAAGGAUAAACCCACAGUGAGGGAAAAUUCGACAACAAUGAGGAAAUUUUUGACAAAAGUGAAGAAAAAUGAGGCUGCACAUGACAAAAAUUCAUGGAUUCCUCGGCUGAACUGCAGCCAGUGUACGACAAAACUGGAAACUAGAAAAAAUGUAAAUAGUUAAUUGUGCAUAAUAUGUAGAAUUGACUUUUUUCCACUUCUGAUACGGCACAGAAGACAUUUUUCAGUUCUUUCUAAUUCUAGUCGUGGUUGUUCUGUUUCUAUGAAGGAGCAGGACUUUUAUUUUGUAGUAAAAAAUGAGCCACAACGAGUAGAAAAAACACCUGAAACCUGCCUUGGGCUCAGUGACUGUGGACUUCCUGUGGUCAUUUCCAGUCUAUUGGUUCACGUUUGGUUUAUUGUGACCUCUGA